UGUAAGUGCAGUUGUGGAUCUCCGUAUCCAACGUUUGACCGUCUGUUUUAUUUGAAUUUUUUAAUGAUUGGUAGUUUUAUUGUAAUUAGAUGAUAAAACAUGAAAAGUACUUUAUGUGUUACUUAUUUUUUUUAAUUUUUUCAUACAAUUUUCAGAUAAGACGGAGAGCCAAAUAUUGGACACAGAAACCCACAACUGCACUUAAA
rfam:Oryza glaberrima chromosome 2 Oglab02_0343_5, whole genome shotgun sequence.